GCGCUUCCUGGACCGGCGGAUGGGUGGUGGUCGGUUCGUUCCCCUUCCCCGGUCACGGCAUAUGUCAUGAUGGUUUCCUCUCCAUCAUAAUCUCCUGCGCUGCGUUUCAUUGUGGUAGUCGUUUGCCUUUCCGUCUACUUAGAGCAAGAUUCUCUUGUUCCCUUGUUCUACUACUUGUUAGAUAACAUAUUUUUCUAGCUAAACCAGAAUGGAAUCAAAACGAAAUUUCGUAUAUAAAUAAGACUAGUUCUGGUACUGCACUUGUUCAACUUCUACCUUGACUCGCUUUCCUUUUAAACGGCCAGCCGUACCCCGAGACACCUUUACUGCAUCCACUCCAAAAGCAGCGUAUAGAGCAGCUGCAUCAUUCGCAGAAGUAUUUCCCUAUGUACCGUCCCUCUAUCUAACAUACUUUGGACUCCCGGGAUUCAAGAUAAAGCCUAUUGGGGCGGGGCUCUUUUGGCUAAAUCUAGGAGCUCAUUGAGACCAUCCUACCCUUACUAUUAUUGAACUUUUCUUUCCUUGUCAUCAAGAAUGCGAAUUCCAUAUUCUAUUCUAUAUAAAUGUCUAUAUAAAUGAUAUUCUUUUGACGUUGAAUCAAAUUCCUUUCUAAACGGGUACCGCGCAUCGUCCGAUCCUGCCCUGUCAGGUUUUCUUCUUUCGGGAUAAUCCCGUUCUUCCUUCGAGCUUGGCUUUGAAUCAAUCAAUUUCAUCAUUGAAUGUGGUCCGCCUACUAAGUAAAGUCUAACAUCCUUUACGGCAUCAACAGGAAAGAUUACCGAUCCCGAACUCCUAUUUCUUCCACUGCUACAAAGACUUCUAUUGCAACAACGACAGCGGAUCCAUCGCUUGCUCUAAGUGCUUCUUGCUCAGACUUGACUGACACUGAUUGAGCUAACUUCACUAUCUUAGUUACUACAUUCUCAUACUUCCUUGAGACUGAACUUUUCGCUUACAAAGAAGACGAUAAGACGAAGACGAUUCGGUAUAAAAGCUUAGCUUCAACUUCAAAGCUUCCGGGCUUGCCCCUUUAGUUUAGUUAGAUUGAAGGCUUCCUUCCCUAGAGGAGGGACGGUACUCGACAUUCUAAAUAGUAAGCAGAAAAGUAAGUAAUAGAAAACGGGAAGGGCACUGAUCCUUCACUUAAACUGUAAGGCCUUCUUUACUUACCUAUAGCUUUAUUUUAGCUUCACCGGAAUCAGAUGCUGUAGAUGAUCAAACUUCUGCCGCGGAGUCGGCUUCAGUAUAGGAUACAACUUCUAUCAUUGAAUCAUCUAGGGAAAAAGAGUCCUGCUAUCGCUGCAUCUUCCCCUGUCCUUUCCUUUUCUUCGGUUGUCUUCCUUCCGAUUCCGAUGGAAAGGCACCUUUCAGGCCAUAAUCCUACGGACAAAUGGCAACUGGGCCCAUAUGUUUAGCACAGGAAAUUAUUAAAAGAUCAGAGGCCUAGCGCGGGCUAUUUUAUAUAAUAAUCUUUCCUAAGCCCGGAGAAUAGUAGCUAGAGGGAGAAGAGCGUUCCCAGCGAAGAGUUUUUCCUUUAAUCAGCGGGGAUGGCACCUGCCUUUCUUUAGAUGACAUUUCUCUCACUACCAAUAGUCUCCGCUUCAAAGAAAAGCUUUGAAAGGGCUUACCCUCCCGUAUACCUUUAUAGGGCACAUAAAGCGUUAACCGAUGAUAGCUUAGCUGCUUCAGUACCACCUUAGCCCUAAAAGUCAAAGUACGGCCCUUCUAAAUAGUUUAGGUACGGGCCGGGGUGAGCUAAAGGCUUUAUCGGAGAUUAGCAGCUUCAUCUAGAAGCUGCCGGGUCGGGCGAUAGUGGCUUCCCUUCCUACCCUACUGGUACGAGAAAGAAGAUAUUGAUUGUACUAGGCGGGCGGCACUCUCCUAUAUUAGAGUACUUGUGCUUUGGUCUAGCAGUACCGCUUUCAGUACCGAGGCCCUACUGUAAUUGGAAAGUUCCAGUUAAUAGUACAGUACUAGAUCACAGCAGUACCAAUAAACCUUAAGCAUUAAGGCAACCUUCUAACCGCCGGAUAAGGGCUUGGGCUUGUUCAUGGAGAUAUAAGUACCGAUCGAAUAGAAAUAUAAGAUUUUAAACCUGAUAACCGAAUUAUGGAUACCGAUAAGCCGAAAGCUGUUGUGCUUUGAUGCCGCC
rnacentral:sRNA from 1 species